rfam:Myotis lucifugus cont2.2634, whole genome shotgun sequence.
GCCGGUUCUCAGGGGACACACCCCUGAAUCAGGCUCCCUCCUCUCUGGUUCCGGGUGCAUCACCCGAGAAACGGA